ensembl:lncRNA
GCCAAGGGAAAAACCAUCUGGCCUUGGCACAGGGGUGUCUGUAGAAGCCCUGAAGCUGCUGAGCAUCACAUUUCUGCUGUGCUCUCUGACUUGCCUCUUGCUGGAGACUGUUGCUUCCUCUGUGUCACUGCCACAACACUCAGUGGGUGUGUUUGCCGUUAUGAUGAAAGUUCCGGCCUCCAUAGGACCUAAGAUUCCCAUCGAAGAAAAUUCCAGGUCCUGGCUGAGCAACUUCAAGGAUUAUCUCUGCAAUCUCAUCAGGAGCCACAUCCCUCCAGCAGCCAUUUUUAUUUUUCUUAUUAUGUCAGCAGUGCUGGGGAUCCUCUGCUGCCUCACUGUUCUAAUAGGUGAACCAGUCCAAUGAAGUAUGAGAAGAUUCAAUGGACAAGUGUAAUGCUUAGCUUGCUGGAUUCCAAGAGAGUGGAGAGUGUGAUAUUUGUGUACAAUAAGGAAGUAUCUA